UCUUCUCGAUUUAUUUUGCGACUUUGCUUAUGGCGUCUUUGCUGAGAAUGAUAAAAAAGGAUUUCUGAAAGAUACGAUUAAUGAUCUCAGAUCCAAUUGAAUUCUCGCACAUCUUGUCGUAAUGUGUCUUCGCUGCAGCUGUGACGUUACGUUAGAAAAAAACGAGUCUUGUCGUACGGUUCCGGAAAACCGCUCGAGUUUGGCCAGAGAAAUCAUAAAUGGCCAUAAUAGUACCGCAAAAUAAGCGCACCGAGGCCGACAACAACACAAGCGGUGAGGCUCCGUACAAACACUCGGGCAGUUGCUUCGCCAAACAACACUGGGCCGGAACAAUAAGCACCAUGCACUUUAACAACAGCAGAAGCAGUAAACAUGACUGGUGGAGAAAUUAAUCAUUUGAUCACUUCCUUAGCCACGAUUGCGACCACAGACGACACCGAUAGUACCAUCAGCGGCAAGCAGGAGCACCACCAAAUCCAACAUCAAAUAUCCGCCGGAAGCGUUCCCUCUCAUCAGUUAUCACCACCCGUUUUUUAUCACGUAUGAACCAUUCGAACAGGUUCGAACGAAUCCCUAGCAACAUCCGUCACUCGCCGGAAAAAAACCGCUAAAAAUGGCCAUACAACCACUGAAAACUAAGCGCAUCCAGGUCGACAACAACGCAAGCGAUGAAGCUUAACAAAAUACAUAGUAGAUGCUGCAGUGAAAAACUCCACCAUCCGACCGGACCAACACCGGAGGUGGAGGUGGAGGUGAAAACUGGUCUGGAACAACCAUCAUCGCUCGUCCAGUUUCUCAGUCACGAUUGCGACCACACCACCAGUCACAACAUUCCGGAGGAAGAGACGAACACCACAGCGCUAUUCCCAUUAUCAUCACAAAAACGAGCCAGUCGAGCAGCAACAGCGGCGAGUCAAUGACCAAUCACAAGGUGUCAGUUUUCUUCUCCAACGGCGGAAGUACGUGGAAGUGGUUCAGUGGUCACAAUGAACAGAUUGAUUAUGAUGGUGGCUUCCGUGGCUAGUGACCGGAAUCCAACAAGCGGAGAAUUCCUAUGCUCGGUUUCCCUCCUGUAAGUAUCC